rnacentral:sRNA from 1 species
UCACUGUAAAAAAUUGCGCCAACUCUAC